GUUGCAUAAAUGUUGUCACAUUGUCGUCAUGGGAAUUUACUGGACGAAGCCGGUUUACUCACAUCCAUCCAGUAUUUAAGACACAGUACAACGGAUGCCAGAGUAAAUACAGACUGUGACAUUGUAAUAACUGGACAAGAACAUCUGUGCAAGGAUGAAGACAUUACAUGCAAUGCUACUGAUGGUGUUUGUUGCAUCAGUCUUUUCUAAACCAUUUGAUUUGCGCAGAAGAUUUGAUUUAUCAGACACUGUGCGAUCUAGAUUCAGCUCAGAGGAAAAUGAUUCAAGCAGAGAAGACAGGGAGGAUUCACAGUCAGAUGAGAAAUCUGAAUCAAACGAGUCUAAAUCAAGUGACUCUGAAUCUUCGGAGGAAGUUGUGUCAAGCACAUUCCCUCCAGCUAGCACAACAAGUCCACUGACUGCUGGCAAAACAACAACAACAUUAGCUACCACGACACAAGACACCACAAACUGUGUUACUGCAACAAGGGGUGAUGGUAAUGUUAUAAUAUCUUGCGGUCCUUAAUCAUCACUUGAAUGUUUAAAGGUGUACAAUUCAUUACAUUUUACAUUAUAAUGUAAUGUUUAUGUGCUGAUAAUGAAGGUCUUGACACUGAAUGAUGUAACUUUUAAAAUUAUUUACUUUUAAACUGCAUGUCACUAUUAUGGUUUUAAGUGCUUAUUUGGAAUUUUAAAAAUCUUUCAAAUGCAUUCAAAUUAUUUAACACCCUUUAACACACUGUUUUCCAAUGUAAUUUAUUAUUGGUAGUACUUUGUCUGAAGCAAUAAAAUGUGAUUUAUCAGCAUAUU